rnacentral:rRNA from 1 species
ACCAGACUCCUACGGGAGGCAGCAGUGGGGGAUAUUGCACAAUGGGGGGAACCCUGAUGCAGCGACGCCGCGUGGGUGAAGAAGCGCCUCGGCGCGUAAAGCCCUGUCAGCAGGGAAGAAAAUGACGGUACCUGAAGAAGAAGCCCCGGCUAACUACGUGCCAGCAGCCGCGGUAAUACGUAGGGGGCAAGCGUUAUCCGGAUUUACUGGGUGUAAAGGGGGCGCAGACGGCGAUGCAAGCCAGGAGUGAAAGCCCGGGGCCCAACCCCGGGACUGCUCUUGGAACUGCGUGGCUGGAGUGGAGGAGGGGCAGGCGGAAUUCCUGGUGUAGCGGUGAAAUGCGUAGAUAUCAGGAGAAACACCGGUGGCGAAGGCGGCCUGCUGGACUGCAACUGACGUUGAGGCCCGAAAGCGUGGGGAGCAAACAGGAUUAGAUACCCUAGUACU